rnacentral:rRNA from 1 species
GAUGAACGCUGGCGGCGUGCCUAAUACAUGCAAGUCGAGCGAACAGAUGAGGAGCUUGCUCCUCUGACGUUAGCGGCGGACGGGUGAGUAACACGUGGAUAACCUACCUAUAAGACUGGGAUAACUACGGGAAACCGGAGCUAAUACCGGAUAAUAUAUUGAACCGCAUGGUUCAAUAGUGAAAGACGGUUUUGCUGUCACUUAUAGAUGGAUCCGCGCCGCAUUAGCUAGUUGGUAAGGUAACGGCUUACCAAGGCAACGAUGCGUAGCCGACCUGAGAGGGUGAUCGGCCACACUGGAACUGAGACACGGUCCAGACUCCUACGGGAGGCAGCAGUAGGGAAUCUUCCGCAAUGGGCGAAAGCCUGACGGAGCAACGCCGCGUGAGUGAUGAAGGUCUUCGGAUCGUAAAACUCUGUUAUUAGGGAUGAACAAAUGUGUAAGUAACUAUGCACGUCUUGACGGUACCUAAUCAGAAAGCCACGGCUAACUACGUG